rnacentral:tRNA from 1 species
GGCGUUCCUGAUUCGCGGGGGUUAGCACGCGGCCCUUUCAAGGCCGAAAUACGGGUUCGAUUCCCGUUAGCGCUACCA